UAGUCUGAUGAGAAAAUGGGAUGAAAAAUCCAUCUCCUUCCUCAUCAGUCUCUCCAUUCUGAAGACUAUAACAGUGAUAUUUAUUUUGAUUAUGGAAAUAUGUCUCAGAGAACAAGCACCAGCAGUACUGUUUCUGCCACUCGCCUCGCCCGUGUUCGUUGUCAAUCCUAAAGGUGCUAAUGGAAGAACUGGUAAGGAAUUGCUAAACAUAGAAAUAUUUGUGAACGUUUGACCUCAACUUCGUCUCAUGCCAUUGAGAUUGCAAGGGAGAAGCAGUUGUUGAGCAUCGGUAUAGGGGCUGAUGGAAGAAUGAUUGCCUGGACAGAUCUUGCUCAAAAUUGAAAUAUUACCAAUACUCUUUAUUUGGUACAAAAGAAGCACUUGGGUUUAACCUUCAUGGUUGUGGCUCAGGUGUAGGACCUUUUCUGGUAUUGUAUCCAGCUGGAAUUACCUCCGAAGUUGGUGUAAUACAUAUCUGUCUGCACUACAUAAAGGGAAAACACGAAGGAGAAAAAAGACAACUGCUGGGAGCUAGGCCAUGCGCUGGUUGUUCUAGCUUCUACAUCCUUAAGCAGAGGAGAAAGUGAAAUCAGAUCUGGCUAAGCUACAAUAAUACUCCUACUGUCUGUCUGUAAAGCACAAGAUUUUUCCCGGGAAAAGAAGAAAAAGAAAAAAGACCAGCUCCGUGAGCUAAGCCAUGUAUUUUGUGUGUUCUAGAUUCUACAUCUGCAAGGAUUGUUCCAAAGGUCUUCCGUUCUUUUAUGUGUUUCCGUAGGUGCUUCAGUAAUUUUACAUGUAUUUGGUUGCUAAACAUAGUCUUAAAAAAAAAAAUGGCU